rnacentral:rRNA from 1 species
CAGCCGCCGCGGUAAUACGUAGGUGGCAAGCGUUGUCCGGAAUUAUUGGGCGUAAAGGGCUCGCAGGCGGUUUCUUAAGUCUGAUGUGAAAUCCCCGGGCUCAACCUGGGAAUGGCAGUGGAUACUGGCUCGCUAGAGUGUGUCAGAGGAUGGUGGAAUUCCCGGCGUAGCGGUGAAAUGCGUAGAGAUCGGGAGGAACAUCAGUGGCGAAGGCGGCCAUCUGGGACAACACUGACGCUGAGGCACGAAAGCGUGGGGAGCAAACAGGAUUAGAUACCCCUGUAGUCCCUGUCUCUUAUAU